rnacentral:rRNA from 1 species
UACGAAGGGGGCUAGCGUUGCUCGGAAUCACUGGGCGUAAAGCGCACGUAGGCGGAUCGUUAAGUCGGGGGUGAAAUCCUGGAGCUCAACUCCAGAACUGCCUUCGAUACUGGCGAUCUUCGGGUCCGGGAGAGGUGAGUGGAACUCCGAGUGUAGAGGUGAAAUUCGUAGAUAUUCGGAAGAACACCAGUGGCGAAGGCGGCUCACUGGCCCGGUACUGACGCUGAGGUGCGAAAGCGUGGGGAGCAAACAGG